AUUGAACGCUGGCGGCAGGCUUAACACAUGCAAGUCGAGCGAGCGGCGGACGGGUGAGUAAUGUCUGGGACACUGCCUGGUAGAGGGGUAUCAAUACUAGACACGGUAGCUAAUACCGCAUACUAUCAGAUGUGCCGAGAUGGGAUUAGCGAGUAGGUGGGGUAAUGGCUCACCUAGGCGACGAUCCCUAGCUGGUCUGAGAGGAUGACCAGCCACACUGGAACUGAGACACGGUCCAGACUCCUACGGGAGGCAGCAGUGGGGAAUAUUGCACAAUGGGCGCAAGCCUGAUACAGCCAUGCCGCGUGUGUGAAGAAGGCCUUCGGGUUGUAAAGCACUUUCAGCGGGGAGGCGUUACCCGCAGAAGAAGCACCGGCUAACUCCGUGCCAGCAGCCGCGGUAAUAC
rnacentral:rRNA from 1 species